rnacentral:lncRNA from 1 species
UUAGACGGCGUACCUUCUCGGACGGCCACCUUGUUGGUUGUCCAGUAGUAAUUGUGACCAUGUUUUGUUCUCUUGACUUGGAAAUGAUAAUUUCUCGCAAUAGGUCAUGGAUUCGACAAUUUCCGGGCAUUCCUUCAUAAAACACACCAGUCACUUGAAUUAGGCUUCUAUUGACAAGUUCACUGAGAUAACUCCAGGCUACAUCUUCAAUGUUCAUUCCUUCUCUCCAUUCUACAAACCGUUCAGCAAUCCAUAAGUUAACGAGUCUUAGGCAUCCUAUUUUGUAAUCCUCUGGAUAAAUGCUUGUGUACAACAGACAUAUCUUAAGAUGCCAAGGCAGGUCACUAUAACUAAGAAAAAGUAUCUUUUUAACUCUGUCCAGCUUACCAGUGCCUUCUAAUUCAACCCCAAGACUGCAUCUAACCAUCUCCCAUUCCUCUAUUCUGUUUACAUCUUUCGAAGCCAAAAGGCCACUGAUUGCAAGGAUUGCAAGGGGCAAGCCCUCACAUUUGUCCAAUAUACCUUUGGCAACAUCCAUCAAAUGACCAGGGCAAGUACCUCCGUUAAAGAUCUUGUUGCAAAAUAGGGUCCACGAAUCCUCAAUAGAUAGUGGCUCCAUUCUGUAGACAAAACGCCGAGAUUCAAUGCAAGAGGCAGAGGCUACAUCAGCUCUUCGAGUUGUUAGCAUGACACGGUUGCCAUGGCUACUCUCGGGCAGUGCAAAUUUGAUGGUAUUCCAAAAUUCCACGUCCCAUACAUCAUCAAAAACAAUUGCAUACCUUCCAGCUUGUUGAAGAAAAUCUUUGACAAUUUUUUUCAGCUCAGUGGUAGUCAUAGACUCUAUCGAUUGUGGGACUGGUUUCUUCCCUUCCUCGUGUAGCUGCCGAAUCAAGUCUAUCAGGAGGUACUGAAAGUCACAUGUUUCAGAGACAGUUACCCAAGCACGGACUGGGAAAUGCCUUCUGACUUCAAGAUCCUCAUGGACUUUUUUCACCAGGGUAGUUUUGCCAAGUCCUCCCAUACCAACCACUGAAACAACUUUUAGUUGGUAAUCAUCCCCUUGGAGGAGCUGAGAAAUUAGAUGUUUCUUGGGCUGGUCAAUGCCAACUAAUUUAGCUUCUUCCACAAGUAGUGCAUCAUCUCUGCUAUAGCGCCAUGUUGUGUUGUUCACAGCAGAAAGUGAGCUGGACGCUUGGGCAGAGAUACCAUAUUCGGAUUGGUAUCUUUGAUGACCUUCAGAAAUACUAUUGAUUCUGAACUUGAUGCUUUGUAUUUGGCUAGCAACUCGAUGACGAGCUCUCAAAUUCUUGAUGGAGCUGAAAAUUCUCCGAAAAGAGCCGUAGAAUCCUGUUGUGCGAUGCCGAGCAAAGCGAGCUACAAAUUCAUCAAGAAUGUCUUCAGUGUCAUAAGCUGCUUCUCGUACUUGCUUGAUCCAUUCUUGGAGUCUGGGUUGAGCAUCUUCUUCUUUUGCUUCUGCCUCUCUCAGGAAAGCUCUCAUGUGCCCCAAUUCAUCCCUGAUGAAUUGGACCUCUUGCCGAAGCCCACCCAACAGUCGUCCCUCCUCGCGCAGAAAAGUUGAGAGUUGAUCCAGCACAAAAGAGAGAACUGUUUCUGCCAUUUUCAGUCUUUCUCUUUAACUUAAGAAUGUAGGGGAAAGCGGCUUCUCGUUUAUGCGACAGUCCACUUGUAGUAUCUUGAAAGGAAGAAGGAAGAGUAGGUUAUAGAUUCAUAAGCUGAUGAACUUUGAUGCUAUAUGUUGCAGUAUUUAUCAAAAGGAAAAACCGUGUCAAAAAGAAAAAGAAAGAAUUAACCAAUUAGAAGAAGCUAAGGCAAGAAACAUGAUGGAAAUUGAAGACAGGAAGAUAGGCAGCAGCGUGAGUUUGAAAAACGAAGCUGCCUUACCUGCUACAAUACAAAAUCAUGGAAGCUAUUAAGAAGACUCUGCAAAUGGUGGGGUGAUCAGCCUUCAGGACCUUCUUUCAACUGUGGGUUCUUUACAAGGGGAAGGAAGAAAGUUAAAACGCUUUUGGACUGGACAUUGUUGAUUUCAUUGACGAAGAAACAAAACUGCUACAAAGUCUUUCCUAUAUGGUACUAAUUUCUGGUGACCAAUUAGUAUUUGUAAUAAAAACGGAUGUAAUAUCAAAGAAGCCUUGGGAACAAACCACUCCAAUGCGGUGUCUGACCAAAACGUGAACUAUAUUGAUUUAAGAGGUCUGUGAAAAGCAUGCAAAUUUAGCAAAAAAAAAAAGAAAAAAGAAAAGCAGAAAAUGCUAAGGAGUGCAUUAAAAAGAAUCAAAUUUCUUUGCAAUUAAAGAUUGCAUACCACUCAAUCGUGUCGUGGCUUAUUUCUGUGCUCAGCAUAAGACAGUUGAUGUAAACCUUUAAUUGUAAUGCCGUUACAAGGCUUAGAAUUCAAGAAGUCGCAAACCUUUCAAGAAUUAAAAAAAAAAACCACAUUUGAUGAAAAUUUACUGCAAAAACAAAUAUUAAAUCAUUCAAAUCUCCGCGUUAUUAUUAAACCGUUACAGAACAAAAACAAAAAUCUUCAUAAACCCUAGUACUAAACAUUACAGCAGGUCAACAUUACCAGUAAAUGCAGCUCAGAAAUGGACGUAAAAUUCAAGGAAUUUUUGCAGUUAAAACUGCAAUUUUCAGAAGAACAUAAAGUAGAGAGUCAAACAGAGAAAAGUCAUAGUCAAAUCUAGAGAGUCACAUUCAUUCAUCUUUUCAGACAACCUCAAAAAUUUAAAUUAAAUUUUAAAAAAAACUGAAAAGGAAAAAGAAAAAGCUGAGACAAAAGAAGAUAAAGAGGAAAAACUCACCUGAAGUUCGAGACUUUAUCUUUUACAGGCAAGGUAGGACUCAGAAGUUAGAUCACAGGCAGCAGCAGCAGCAGCAAACUUUGUUGGAGUUAAGAGAAAGAAAAGGCGCAAAAAAGAAUGAAAGAGAAGAAAAAAAGGGGUUCAGAUUUGUUGAAGUAGACGUAGAACGACGUCGUAAAAGAGCUAAAAUGAACUACUAGUAUGGAAGUUGAGUUGAGAGUGUAGUUGCUCCUCCAUUAUUGUUCUGGUGGAGGGAGACAGAAGAGGGACAGAGGAAGGAAGAAGAGAGAGAGAGAGAGAGAAGGGAGAGAAUUUGUACGGGGGAAGAAUACAAUGUACAAAUGUAUCAGAAGAAGAAGACAAAUGUAAAAGAGGCGAGAUUUAAUCAUUUAAAUAAAAAGGAUAAUUGCACUAUUCACCGCUAAACUAAUCGGCUUUAGUAAUUUGCCCGUAGAACGAUAAAUUGUAGUUGUAGUUAGAGGUGAAAGACAAUCAAGUUAAUUACUCCAGUUGGGCUAGAUACGAGUUUUUUCGAAAUUGAUUUGUCAAUUAAUCAAAAUCAAAUUUUGUUCGAGUAGCAUAAGAUUAUUAGAAUUUAAAUGUAAAAUAAUCAAAGUAUUCGGACUGAACUACUCCUCUGAGCUUAGUCUAGUAAAUAAAUAGUAUAAAAAUUCGAAAACAAUUUCAAACCCAUUCACAAAUGUGCUAGCAGAAGACAAAUGUAAAAGAAGCUAAUUGCCAAAAACCCCAUUUUCUAGAAACCAGAAAUAAAUGAUUUUAGUCAUUCAAUAAGAAGUAGGUAUAGAAUUACAAGAGAACUAUCCAGCGAUAGUGUUCAAUGCAUUAGUUAAUAUUCACCAACAACUAUAAAUUAGAAGCGGCAAUUUGGAUUGAAAUCCAUUUAUCCAUCCAUAUAAUCCAUAAUUAAAUGGAUAAUGGAUUAUCCAUUUAUAGUAUUGGUUUUAAAUGGUUGAUCAAAGUAAAACCAUUAAAUUAAAUGGAUUUAUAUGAAUUAUCCACUAAAACCAUAUAUAUUCAUUUACUUAAAAACCAAAUAAAAAAGAGGAAAAGGAAAUGACUAAAAAAGGAGCCAUCCUAAAAUUGCAAUUGGGGUGUGAAAAAGCUGUCCCCGUGAAUAGUAACCAACCCUGAAACUGAAUGUUGGGGUUUACUGCUGAAGAGGUCAGGAAACAAGUGAGAUUCGGUUGGCUUUGAAGCAAACCCAUUACUUUUUCCCAACGAUUCCUUGUGGAGGAUUAGAGUGCAAGCCUGGCACCACAGAAUUUGCGGUUCAGCCUCCCUCCUUGGUACACCCAUGCACCUGAUUACUAGAUGUUGAGCUCAAAAGUCAUCCGUGGCUUUAGUAGUAGACAUUGCAAGUGUUGUGUGAGUACGAAUACAAGCUAGUGUUGGUAUUUUUGUGGAUACCCUACGUACGGUCUAUGCAGGACUUCUAUUGUUUGGGCUAGUUUGCAAUAUAUGGCUACUCUGUAAUAUGUAAUAUAUAUAUACAUAUAUAAUAAUAAUAAUAAUAAUAAUAAUAAUUUCAGAUAGUUUUUUAGUGAAAUGAAAGUUCAUUUUGCUUGAAUUUACAUCCGUGGUAUUUUUUGGCUUGAAUUUACAAGAAAUGGUAAUACAAAAAAAAAGUAACAAAAAUAUUUAAAUGGAUUAUAAAUGGAUAAUUGGUUUUUAUUUAAUCCAUUUAGAUCCAUUUAUUAAAUGGAUCUAAAUGGAUUGGAUAAAUUUUAUCCACCAUCCAUUAAGUCAAAACCAAUUAUGAACCAUUUAUCCAUAUUGCCACCUCUACUAUAAAUAAUAAACACACACUAUUUAAGGAAAACCCACAACCCAAUCCAAAAGGCAUACUGACUUUCAGAUUACACUGAGAACCUUUAAGUAAUACACACACACACCACUCACAAUCGAUGUGGAAUAGAGGGAAAGGGGGAGGGGAAACACCAAGACUAUUGCCAAAGGCUCACCAACAGCUUUUAACCACUCCAUGAUUUUUCUUAUCCACCAACAACCAUAAAUAACACACACACACACACUACCUAAGAAAAACCCACGGUCCAACCCAAAAGGCAUGCUGACUUUCAGGCUAUACUAAGGACAUUAGUUAUUAUUCGGCACGUUUAAAAUUCUAUACAUGCACAUUAUGCUGUUUUUUAUAGUAUUAUUUUCUCUUUUCUACUAUCAAAAUAUAAAUCUAAAAUUUGAACAGAUUAAGGUAUGAAAUAAACAGCCUGUAGUGAUUUAUUUUCGUCCUAUGAUCAACUACUCAGCAUAAGAGAAUUGAGGUAACCUUUAACUACUGAGCCAAAUCCCAUCACCACCAUCUUAUCAUGUCUAAUUAGUCUUUUAGCUCCUUGUAAUGUUAAAAAAAAAAACAAAAAUUGGAUACACUCGACAAAGUAAAAUCAUAAUAUUGUGUUUCUAUUUUCCUUCUUUUUUCUUUGCGGGAAAUUAGGUAUACUAUUAUACUUGAUCUUUAAUUGCCAAUAGUAUUGAAGUUGGCGUAUGUUUCAUUCUAUAACUAUUAUGUGUGUCUAGUGGUUCAAUUUUUCUUUUCAAGUUUGCCCUUUUUUGCUAGAUUAUAUUGACCUUUCUCAAAUCGCUUCAUACAAGAUGCAGGAUAUUUGUUGUAAUUUACUGUAUCAUCUCAGCAUUUGGUGUGGGAUCUUACUGUUUACCUCAUUGUAAUGAUAUAUCGUUAAAAUGGAACCAAAUGGGAGCAUGGAAUCUGUCCUUUUGCAGGCAUAAUUAAUUUGUGGGAAAAUCUUGCCACAUAUCUGCAAGGAAUAAAUAAAGAUUGACUAUAUAUAUAGGAAGCGAGAAUGUAUCCUUGUAAAGAACAUUUUUAUGUAGGGAUACGGAAAAGAGAAAUUUGAAACAUAUAGUUGGAUUGGUUUUUCUUGAGUUUAAAGAGUCAUAGGCUAAAAAAAGUAGUAGUAGUUCAAUUUUUUUUUUUAUCAAUACUAGUUCAAAGCCAUAAAUAACUAUUGUACAGUCAUAAUUUGGACUCAAAUGUGAUAAGGUGCAUUAUUCGAGCUAUUGUAAGUGAAACAAAAGAAGAAACAAAGUCACAAAGUUUUCCUAGUGAUCAAUAGUACUGCUGCUUCCUAGAAACAACAUAUAAAAAAAAAAUAGAGAGACGCUAUUAAUAUAUUAUAAAGUUCUCUCAAUGUUUGUCAUUUUUAUAUGGUAACUUAUUAUAGACGAAUUGUUAAAGCCAUGUGAGAAAGUUAAGAACGAAAUUACACUGACGUGUUUCAUUCCAAAGCUAAUUGCAUUGUUAGAAAUUACAUUAACGCGAUUCAUUCAAAAUCUAAUUUUAUUUCAUAAUUCAAAAGAAAUUUUGAUGCAAUAAAAAUUCUUUUUUGAAUAUGAGAUCUUGAUUAUGACAAUACAUGAAUACCCUCAAUGAUAUUAGAAAGCGCAUUCAAAAUUAGGGACUGACGUCGUCCUAAUUAUUUUGUAAGAAGGACAAUCUUGAAAAGGAAAAACUUGAACACUAACCAUCAAUACAAACUAUUGAUGAAUCUUUGUAAUUAACGAGGGAAACCAUGUUGACCAAUAAAAGUCAAUGGUAGUAGGUAGAAAAGCUGGCAUCAAUGUGCACCAUGUUGAGGGUAACUAUAGUAUAGAUAUAAAUAUAGAUAAAUAUUUGUAAUUAACAAGGUACAUCAUGUUCACCAAUAAAAGUCAAUGGUAGGUACUUGAAAGCGUCCUUUAGCACAGAGGAGCUAGAAACCAAAAUGAAAUGAAGGAGAUCAGUAAAUUAAUCACAAGAUGCCCUGAACUUGCGAGGAAGCCAAUUAGUGCAAUAAUACACCAUAUUUUAUAGAUGGGAAUCUGCAAAAAAGUGGUGGAGUCGGGUAAGAGUCUGCUGAUGCAAUUGCAAUUGUUGGGCUCCAGGCUUCAAAAUAAUGCAAAGAUGACAAUAAUGAGUUGGAGCCAGCUCAUUCCAGUUGCGAUAGCAAAAUGCUGUUGUCUGCCAGUCUCUUCCAGUCAUUUGCAAUUAUUAGUGUGAACGCACAUGAUUGGAAUGAGCGCUUGUUUAUUUAUGUAGAAAAAGUGAUCUUGUUAAAUCAGCACACCUCUAUUCAUUUACCUGAGCAAAACUCGGAUCACAUGCAUUAAUGCUAAUAAUAAUAAUGAUCUACAAUAUUAAAGUAUGUGUUAUAAUCUUGGGUUUCUCUCUCUUCUAUUGUUGCCUGAUUUUUAUUUCCCUAUCCUUGCUUUUUGUCUCACCAUCUCCUUAAAUAGUAAGUCAUUUAGAUAUGUCGUGAUUUUCCUGCCUUUUUUUUUAAAGCAAUACUCUAUUGUUAAACAGGAAUCUCCAAAUAUUUUUUAGUAGAAUAGAGGCCCCAUUUGACAAAUGAAUUUUUUGAAUGUUUGUCUAAAUAUUUACUAUAACUUACUGUAAAAAUUUGUGAAAUUUUUUUUUAAAAUGUGUAAUUUUUUGGAUAUUUUAAAGUGUAAAGUUUAAAAAUUUUGAAAAUUUUUUUUGAUGUUAUUGCAGAUAAAAUUAUUAAAAAACUUGUAACAGAUAAACUUGAUAAAAAACUUGUUUACCAAAAAAGCCCAGAGUGUUGUGCGCGAACUUGUUAUUUAUAUGGUACUCCAAGUAUUCAAAACUCAAAAGGAGAACUUAAAGGGGCAAACAAAAAAAAAAAUUUAAAAAAAGGAAGGCAAACAAAAAAAUUUAUUAGCAGAGGUUAUUCAUAGCCCAUGAUCCCAUGUGCAAUAUUGCAAUGCGACAUUGGCGAGAAGACAAAAGAGAUAGAGAUGCCGAGCCUUAGCACCAAGCUGUCAAGUGGCCGAUGCCCUUCCAUUUUCUAUCUGCCCAGAAAGCAAUACUAACUUCAACGAUGCCUGUGAUUCUUCAGUCAUCCUUUUCUUCUUUUUGGGUAAAAAAUGGGAGGGUGGAUAGAUAGGGAAGAACCAGAUUGAUUAAUUAGAGUUACCAAGGGCACGUUUGGCAUCUAGAAUAAAAGUUUUGCAAACUUAUUUCACAUAUAUGUAGUAAAAUACUAGUAAUUAAGAAUGUAAACAUGUAAAGGCAUUGUCUGUUUGGUAGUGCACAAAAUAAGAGGUGGAUCCAAAGUUAAUUUUUUCUAUCAAAGUGUUGCAACUUAAGUGGUGAAUGAUAAUUUUACAACUUUAAUAGUACACCUACCUUCUUGUUUUAAUUAUAUUUUAACUAUAUAUAUAUAUAUAUAUAUAUAUGAUUUAGUGGUUAAAGUUGAGAUUUUGGUCUAGUGCUUUUAUUCUUCCCAAAUCUAUCAUCAAGAAGAUUUGUAGUAUGCUAACUGAGAUUAGAACUCAUUACGGGGCAAAAGUUAAGUGGACUGAUAUAUGGAUGCCUCAGAAGGAGGGAAGAUUGGGCCUGUUUGAUUUAGAACUUUGGAACGAAUGUCUAAUCAUGAAGCAAAUAUGGCAUGUUUGCUGUAAAAAGGAUACCCUUUGGGUUAAAUGGGUUCAUACCAACAACUUGAAAGGGUGUUCCUUUUGGGCAGCAAAGAUUCCGGUUAAUAGUUCUUUUUUUUUUUUUUUCCAGAAACGAUAGAUUAAUUUAUUUCUACGAAUAGAGAAAAUACAAUAUAUGAGCAAGGGCUCAAGUUGUGGUCUACAAAGGUGUACUGAGACAUCGAGGAUCAACGAACUCCUCAUCAAAAUAGAUGUGCAUUGCUUGCUUACUCAGUUCAUAACUGAGUGUAUUAGUACUAAUAUUACUGGGUUGGCAAACAAAUGAGCAUGUCCUAAACAUUAAGCUGAGAUCAGUGAUGCAUUCGAGAUGGCCUGCUAUAAGGAAGUUGCUUGGACAUUGGCAGCGUAUCAUCUUUAAAAUGCGGUUGCAUGAAAUAUGAACCUGUAUGUUUUGCAAGUCCCGUUCCUUUAGCUUACAAAGAGCCAGUUGUAUCGCCACCAAUGUGUCCAGCACAGACGAUCCAGUACUUCUUUCUGUGAGCAUCCACCCUGCCCCAAGCUGAUUCAGUGCAUUUGUUACUGUGACGCCAAUUCCCAUAUUUAGUCCUUCAAUGUGUUGCCCCACAUGUAUAUGAACUCUCAGGAUGUCCUGCUCUGGUUCCCUCGUUUGCUCUUGUUCAUUUACUAUGUCUGUUUCGGAAAUGCUCAUACAUUGCCGUGCCUGUUGGCAGUUAUAGUACUCCUCAAAGUCAUUCACUGCCUUUCUGACUACCUCCAUUGGAUGCCUAUAUUUGUCUUCAAAUUCUACUGCAUUUCUGGAUUUCCAAAUGUGCCAAAGAAUAUCCACAGUUAGACAAAUGUGUUGCAUUCCAUCCUUUCGUUCCUUUACUCCCAUUAGCCUGCUCCACCACUUCCUGAAAUCAGUUGUGUCCUCAUGAAGCCCAUCCCACUGUAACGGAGCCAUCUUCCAUAUCAGCUUUGCUUUGGUACAUUGGAAGAAAAUGUGCUCAACCGUCUCAGUUGUUUCUCCACACUGCUUACAGAUUAGCUCUCCCUUUCCCGUUCUCCUAAAUAUAGCUUCUCUGACGGGUAACACCUGGUGUAAACACUUCCAUAGAAACAACUUGUGUUUGUGUCUUAUUCUCAAUUUCCAUAGCUAUUUCCAGACUUUGUUGCAGCCCUCAAUCCAGCUUGUUUCUCCCAGAUUGCUCACAGGUGCAUUAGGCAUACUAUCCUCCGCUGUGAAGGCUUCAUAAGCAGAUCUGACCGUGUAUUUUCCAGUGGUGCCGUGCCUCCAGUAGUAACAAUCAGGUCUGUUUGUCACACUGAUAGGCAUUUUGAGUAUAUUCCUAGCUUCAUAUGGAGUGAAAGUUCGGAAGAUGAGUGGUGAUUUCCAUCUGAAACUGGAGAUCAGCUCGCUAACUUUUGUGAUGGUGCAUCCCAGUGGUUUUGGGGAUUCUACUUUGCCUUGCUUCCCUUCCAAUAGCCAAGCAUCUUCCCAGAUGUUAAUGCUCUUUCCGUUCCCUACUUUUUUCCUAAUUCCACUGCCUACCUCAUCUCUUACUCCCAUUAGACUCUUCCAUAUCCAUGAUGCAUUUCCUCUUACUUCACAGCCCAGUAGAGAAGUGUUGGGGUAGUACUUGGCUCUCAGCACUUUACUAAGCAAAAGAUUGGGGCAUCUGAGAAUCCUCCAAAGCUGUUUGCCUAGCAAGGCUUUGUUGAAGCCUUGGAGAUCUUUAAAGCCUAGUCCUCCCUUAUCCUUCGUAGUUGACAUCUUUUUCCAUGAAGACCAGUGCAUUCUCGUUCCCCCAUUGCCGUCCCCCCACCAGAAUCCUGCCAUCAUGGCAUUGAUUUCUUUGCAUAGCUUUACUGGAAGCUUAAAACAGGACAUUGCGUAGGUUGGCAUUGCCAUGGUUACUGCUUUGAGCAACACCUCCUUCCCAGCUUGACUUAAGCGUUUAUUGGACCAGUUAAAGAUGGUUCUUUUGCAUUUUUCUCUAAUGAAACCAAAGAGCUGAUCUUUGGUUCUAGUGAUGACCAUAGGCAGACCCAAAUACUUCCCUUGCUUCACCACCUUUAUGUUUUCCAAGCAGCUGCAGAUUUCUCCUUGAUGUCUUGGUUCCACAUUUUUGCUAAAGAACACAGACGAUUUUUCCAUGUUGAUCAGCUGUCCAGACUCUUGUUCAUAAAUCUUCAAAAUUCUGCUAACUUCUUGAGCUUGUCUGUUGUCCGCUUUGCAAAAGAUUAACGAGUCAUCUGCGAAGAAGAGGUGCGUUAUUGACGGGCCACUCCUACUGAUCCUCAUCCCAGUUAGCCUUUUACUUCUUUGUGCUUGGUCCAGCAGGUGUGAAAAACCUUGGGAGACUAAGAGAAAUAAGUAAGGUGACAAAGGGUCUCCUUGCCUAAUUCCUCUUGACGGUGUGACGUAUCCUGUAGGCUCUCCAUUGAUGUUGAAAGAAAAAGAAGCUGUUGAGAUGCACUCCAUUAUCCAAGUGAUCCAUGUAUCACAAAAACCCAUUUUUGCCAUGAUUGCCUUCAGGUAUCCACACUCUACCCUGUCGUAAGCUUUCGACAUAUCUAACUUUAAGGCCAUAAAACCAUGGGAUCCAUCUCUUUUGUUUUUUAGGUAAUGCAUGUACUCAUGAGAGAUGAUGACAUUAUCUAAAAUCUGCCUUCCAGGAACAAAGGCAGCCUGGUUUGCACUGAUGCAUUUUCCCAAAAAAUUUUUCAGUCUAUUUGCUAAAAUUUUUGAAAUGAUUUUAUACAACACAUUGCACAAACUUAUUGGCCUGAACUGCUUAACCUCAGUGGGGUGCUCACCCUUGGGAAUAAGAGAUAUGUUGGUGUGAUUCAUGGCUUUCAACAUAUGGCUGGAAUGAAAGAAGCUUUUAGUGGCUUUUAUGAUGUCUUUUUUAACAAUGUGCCAAAAUGUCUGAAAAAAAAGUGGAGUCAUGCCAUCAGGACCCGGGGCUUUGGUUGGGUUCAUGGAGAAAAGGGCAUCUCUAAUUUCUCUGUCCUUGACUGGUUGGGUUAAAUCUGAAUUCAUGUGGUCUGAAAUUGUCUGCGAUAUUCCCUCCAAAGACAUAUGAGUUUGAGUCAUUCCCUUACUCCUGAAUAGCUCCUUAAAAUGAUUUACAACUUCUUCCCCAAUUUCCUCCUCUGAAUUGGUCCAAGUGGUGUCCUCCCUUUGUAGUCUUUGAAUUUUGUUUUUCUGUCUCCUUCCUUUGACACUAGAGUGAAAAAAAUGGGUAUUUUUAUCCCCCUCCUUUAACCAUUGCACUCUAGAUUUUUGACUCCAAAACAGUUCCUCUUCGUCAUAAGCCUCCUUUAAUUGUCUUUUAAGAUCCCUGCUCCUUGACUUUUUGUCGUCACAGUCACUGGCUUUAAUCUCUUCCAAUAGCUUUUUAAGAUUUUCAAUUCGGUGCCUUGCAUUUCCUUGGAAGGUAGUUUUCCAUUUCAGUAUCGCCAACCUGCAGUUUGCUACUUUCUUAUGCACUUUGUACAUAUUGGAUCCUGUUUGCUCCUCCUCCCAAGCCUGCCUUAUCACUUGUUCCAGCCCCUCUUUGUGCAACCACCUUUUAUCAAAAAAGAACCGCUUCUUUUUCUUUUCAGUUAGAGGAUUUGAAUCUAUAAGCAUCAUACUAUGAUCUGAUCCCACAUUAUCUAUAUGUCUAACUGUAGUUUUGUCAAAAACCUGGCUCCAAUCAUUACUUCCCAAAGCUCUAUCUAGUCUUUCCUUGAUUUCACCUUCUUGAGUCCAGUUGUUACUCCAAGUCCAGGGGUUGCCUUGGAAACCCAGAUCAAUAAGUCCAUUUUGUUCAAUGAAGUUUCUGAAAUCUUGAAAGCUUCCCUCCUCUCGCUUUCUACCACCCCAUUUCUCUUCAUUAGAUUUAAUAUCAUUGAAAUCACCUGUAAUCAUCCAUCUAGGACCCCAUAGCACUUUCCUUCAUUCCACUACUUGCCACUGAUUCCUUCUAACCAGAUUAUCCGUGCUUGCAUAAAUGCCAAUAAACCACCAGUCCACAUUCUUGUCCAAGUCCAUGAUAUGGAUUUCCAUGGUGAAAGCAGUUGUUUGAACAUCCAAAACCUUAACCUCAUUGUUCCACAUUACAGUCAUGCCACCUGCCUUAUUCAUUGAUUCUACCACUACACACUCAUCAAACCUCAAUUUCCUUUUCACUGUCAGCAUAAACUGAAGUCUAUUUUUGGUCUCACACAAAAAGACCACAUUGGGGGAGAGGAGGUUGCAAGCCUCCCUCAGCUGGGGAAUUGUCAAGGGGCUCCCAACACCUUGGCAAUUCCACACCAGUGCUUUCAUUCAUCCAUGGGUGGCCAAGUUAGGCUGGCCACCGCCCCUUCAUAUUGGUUGACACAGUUGUCUUGCUCCUCCCCCUUUCUCCACUUUUUUCCCACUGUUUCAGUGAUUUCCACAUCCACCAUAUCCUCAUCAGUCAGAAGAAAUUUUCUUUUCCCCGUAGUCUCCUUACACAGCCUGGAUUGCUGAGCCUGUCGCAUUGAUUUUCUCUUUAUCACUGGAACUUUUAAUUGUUUCCCUGUUCUUCUCGCCAUUCCAUUGUUACUCGGUGCAUCCAUAACAUCUAUCUGCUCUUCCACUUGCAUGUACACAGCUUCAGGUUCCUUAGAGGAUUGCUCUACCUCCUUGUCAAGGACUAUGUCUAGCUGACCGCCAUCUACACUCCCUUCAAUCAUUUGUUGAGAUAGUUUUUCCUUUCCCUUGCUAUUUUCCAUCUCCUCACCCCUGUUGUCCGUAUUUUCUGAUUCAUGCCUUGUCACUAUCGCCUCAACUGUUAUGUCUCCCCCAGCAGGUCCACUCUUCUUACGCGUACUUCCAUCCUCCCUAGCCAUGCUCCUCUCCAUCAGCACCUUAUCCCCUGUUUUUGGUACUAAUUCUCCAUCCUUAAAACCCCACCUUUGCUUGUUUGGAGAAGUGUUAACAGGUUGUCUCCCUCUUCUUUUCUUUGGAGGCGACAAAUGCCCCCCUCCUACUCUCAUCCAUGGGCCAAAUUGAUUAUCCUGCUGACCUUUCCCACCUACACUUCUAUUUGGGCACUUCCUAUCACUGUGACCUAUUUUACCACAAGUAUAACAGAAAUCAGGUCCCCUCUCAUAUUUGAAACUUAGCCACUUCACCUUUCCUUCCAAUUUCACCGUAGUACCUCUCAUGAGAGGUUGGGAUAUAUCAGCCAGCACUAGUAAUUUGAUAUGUCUUCCUUCCUUUCCUCCUCCUUGAGGGAUAAUCACUUCCUUAGUUUCAUGAAACACUGAUGCUAUUUUUUUUCCCACCUCUUUAGAAAUCCAAUGCACUGGAAGAUUCCACACUUGAAUCCAUAAUGGAGCAAGAUUAAAUUCAGCUCCUUCCUCCUGGUUAAUAGUUCUUGGGUAUGGAGGAAAAUAUUAUUGUUGUUAAGGGAAGAAGCUUAGCCUUUCAUUAGACAUUUGAUUGGAAAUGGUGCUGAUACAUAUUUCUGGUAUGACUGCUGGCACCCUAUUGGUCCUUUAUAUAAAUAUUUUUCUGAAAAUUUGUUGAUCGCAAAAGCUUCAAGAGUCUCUAGGUGUAUUCAGGGGAGUAUGUGGAAAUGGCCCCAAGGGAGACGAAGAACAGGGGAGAUAAAGAAACUAAUACGGGAGACCCCGCAUUUAUUUUUGCUUAAUACACAUGUUGCGGAUGAAGUAUACUGGUAUGGUAGUGCUUCUAGCCAAUUAACAACAUUCUAUUCAGCAAUGUCAAAACUUUGAGUUUGUGGAGCUCCAGUGCCAUGGGACAAGCUGGUAUGGGGGAAAGGUACUGUACCGCGUUACUCUUUCAUUGCUUGGAUGCGUUGUAGAGGAAGAUUACCUACCAGAGACCGUUUAAAGGCCUGGGGAGUGGCUUUGGAGUAAAAUCAGUGUGUCCUACGUAAUAGUGCUGAGGAAUCCAUUAGGCAUAUUUUCUUUGAUUGCACUCCAUCCAAUACAGUAUGGCAGAAGCUACAGUACUUGCGUGCAAUAGUUAAGAGCAGAUUACCCUGGGAUGCUGAGUUAAAAUGGUAUUCUGAUAACUGCAACUCAAACUCAUUUAUUGGUCAAAUCAGAAGGUUGGUGUUUUCAACUGCAAUUUAUCAGAUAUGAUGUGCGACGAACCAAAUCAUAUUUCAACGGAAAUGUAUUUCUGCUGUGACCAUUGUGUCUAUGGUCCUUGAAUCAGUUAAAAUUACUGUUGUGAGUUGGAGAGGAGUCCCACAGACCAAAGCCAAUUGGGAGCUAAAUAUGGAGUUCGGAUUAUGUCAUGUGUGUUUCCAGCAAGAUUUGAGUUUGCAUUACUGUAAUAGUGAUAGAAUUUAUGUAAGUAGGAAUUGUUUGAUUCCUGUGUGUACUCGCUUAUAUCUUGAUCAAUAAAGAUUCAUAUUUGCCCAAAAAAAAAAAAGAAUGACCAAUUACUUGCAUUACAUUAACAAUUAAUAUCAAUUAUUCCAACACUUACAGGAAUGAAAAACAUUCCCUUGAGUUGUAGUGAAUUAAAUCGAAAAAAGAACAACAAAUUUUAUUUAUAAAUUAUAAAAAAAUAUGGUAAAUUUUAGUGGUUAAUAGUGUAAGCAAAAAAAAAAUGAUAUUAGUUUCUGUGAUGCCACAAUUACACUCUUCUCUAAUAAAUGGACAAAUUGCAUUGCAUUUCAUUAAUAAAUAAUAUCAAACAUGCUAGUAGUGACAAAAAUAAAAGAUUUCUUACUUUUUUAUUUAUCAAAAAAAGAAUAAAAAAUUUUAUUUAUGAAAUACCCAAGUUUAAAGAGUACUUCAAACAUGAAACAAAGCAUAAUAAAUUGGUACUAUGAGUCUCUUAAAAAAUAUCAUGAAUCUUUUUAUUUUUUGGAUAAAAGUAAAUUAAGCCUUAAGAGCACGUUUUAGUAUGAGUAUAUUAGUAUUAAGUAAAAAAUUUUAACACAAAAUAUAAUAAGAACUGGAGUAUGAAAGAAGGCAAAGAGUUUUAUGUUGAAAAUUUAUUGGUUUAUAUUGCAACAAAAAUUAAAUUUAAUGAACUUUAUUAAUGGUAUUAUUUUAACAAUUGAUAGCAUUAAAUAUAUCAAUGCCAAUCAUAAUAAUAGUUAUAAAGGUGAAACACUCAUUUGAGUUAUGGUGAUUAAAUUAAAAAGUAUAUCCAAUUUCAGAGAGUACAUCAAAGGUGAAUAAAAAUAUUUCCAAAUUCAAUUUGACUGUUAUAUAAUAAAUAAUCUUAACAGCUUACAAUUUUUAAUCAUAUAAAUCUAUAAUCAUAAAUCAUGUCAUCAAUGAUAAAGUUUCAACAAAUGAAAAUAUUUCUCUUUAAAAUUAAGCUAUUUUAAAUUUGAACAAUGGAAUUCAGUAUAUUUAAAUGCUAUAGUAAUUAUAAUAGUACUAUAGAUCAUUUUACAAUCCACCAUUAGCGAAAAAUAAUAAUAAUUAGAAAAAAUCACUAAAACUAUUUAAAAAUUCAUAGAGUGACUUAAAAGGGAACAACAAAUUUUUUAAAAAGAUAAAGAUUUUAACUCAAAUGACGUAAAAGAGAACAUUCGGACAAUCUAAAUUUAACAGAAAGAAGAAAACAUUAAUUGUCUUACAAAAUAAAGUCCUCUUGGAACAAAUAAUGCUUUAUUACUCAUGCAUUUGUAUUGGUUAGGGCAAACCAAAUUCAGAAAAAAUAAAAAAAAACAUGAAUAAUAAAUAUCCUUUUUUUCGUUAAUAAGUUAAAAAUUUAAACUCAAAUAACAUAAAAGAGAACACUCAGAUAAUCCAAAUUCAACUGAAAGACAAAAACAUUGAUAUUGUUACAAAUUAAAAGUGCCCUCAGGCUAAAUAAUGCUUUAUGUUGCCUAGGCAUUUGUGUUGGUUAUAGCAACCAAAUUCAAAAAAUUAUAAAAAUAUUAAAUAUCACAUUUUUUUUGUCUCAAUUACAUUUAUUCCUUCAAAACAAUUGUUUUUCUAAAACUUUUGAGAAAUAUUAUUUGCAGUCACAUUUCUAUUAAUCAUACUCCCACUAUCGCUUAAAUCAUAUAGUUUUCAUUUGUUAAGAUAUGUGGUGACAUUAAAAAAAAAUGAAGUGCAAAUUACAUUUUCCAAAAUUUUAAGGAAAAAAAUUUAAAAACAUCAUGUUCAUGUUCACGUGAAAAGUACACGAUUCAUUACUAGUAAUGUAAAAAUGCUUGAUAAUCCAAAUAGAUGAGCUUCCUGUAGAUUGUUGGAGUUUGAAUGUUCAGUUCCCUGUGAAGUUUUUUGAAUAAUCUCGAGACUUGGAUGAACAUACGAUUGCAUAAUGGGUGAUGCUUUCCAUAGUCUGAACCUAGUUGAGGAUGACGAAAAUUAGUCUUGGCCUGUUAUGGACUGUAGGAACGGCAAGAGAGGAAAAGGAGGAGCAGGCCUUUAAAAAAUGAGCUAAGUUGUGAAAAGUGCGGGUGGGGAACAUUAACAUAAAUUUUUGUACAUUUUCUUUUUUCCUGAGGUAAUUGUCGGCAAUAACUUUGUCCAGUGCUUAGGGGAACACCCGUUGAUUUUGCAUUUCUAGUUUGAUAUAUGAGGGCCUUUCCAUGUCUGAAGAUCAAAUAAUACAGUUUGGAACUGCAGAUGGUUCUGCGGCAAGCUCAGUAUCAAAGAACAAGGAGAUUGAUGUGAGCAUCUAUCUAGUUGAGAUUGUUAUGUAUUAGGUCCUGAAUCCUCUAUAGUUUUGUGCUUUUGUGAUUUUGUACUUUACCACGUAACCCUCUAUAAUUUAAAAAAAUAUAUAGAACUCCAUUAUAAUUUGGAUUAAGGUGUCAUUGUUAGUUUUUCCGUUAAAACUAACGGUCAAUAGUAAAAAGUCAAAAUCAAACUAAUAAAUUGACAAAUUCACGUUUUCAUUAUUCUCUCUCUCUCUCUCUCUCUCUCUCUCUCUCUCUCUCUCUCUCUCUCUCUCUCUCUCUCUCUCUCUCUCUGUGUGUGUGUGGGAAAAAAGAGGUGAUUUUGAAAACCUAUGUUUUGGCUUACAAAAUCUUAAUUUUCUCCAAAUAUAAAAGAGAUGGAAGGAAAAUAAAAAAUAAAUAAUUAUGAAACAAAAAAGAUGGAAGGGAAAUAUAAAAAAGUAAAUGAGAAACAAAAAAUACCAAAUCUUUUUUUACUACAAAUAUCAUUAUAGGUUUCUAAAACAAAAUUUUAAUGGCAUUUUCUAUUUCUUAUUUAUCUAUUUUAUUUAAAUUUCUUCAAGUAAUGAAAAGAUAAAUUUGUCAAUUUAUUGGUUUGAUUUUGACCUUUUACUAUUGAUUGUUAGUUUUAAUAAAAAAAAAUUAAAGGUGACACUGUAAUUCAAACCAUGAGGAGAUUAUAUAUAUGUUUUUAAACUGUAAAGAGGUUAUGUGGUAAAGUACCUAAUCAUAGGGGAUAAAAUACAAUUUACCCAACUUAAUAUUAGCUAGCCCUUACAUUGCUAAAGCAAAUGGGUCAGUGGUUGCUCUUAAUUGCCAAGUACCAAUAUACAUAUACCGAGAUCAUCCGCAUUUUUGUUCCUAAUUGCCAGCAUAUACCACAUCUUUUGAUUUUCCAAUAAAUACUGCAAAAAAAAAAAAAAAAAAAGUGACGACACCUUCUAUACUACUCAAAGAUUAUUGAUUGUUCACCUAAAUUCGUCAAGUUUCAAAAAAAAUCUUUAAAGUGAAUUGAAUCGAAUUCAAAUUGAAACACUGGCAAAUUAGGGAAGGAAAGAGCAGAUUUGUACAAGCAGAAGGGAGGAUAAAUUAAACCAAAAUUGAUUGUUUGCUAAAUCAAUUAAAGAAAAGAUAAAGAGUAAUAGUAUACAGUACAUUAACAACAUCAAGCAUUAUACACAAUACAUACAAUAAAUAAGAAGGUAAGACACAGAAGAUGAUGAACUUGUCUCACAGAAGAUGUCGAAUGGGAAAAAAUUUACUAAUAAAAAAUAAAAUCAAAAAAAGAGAAAGCAGUGUUGUCCACAAGGGAAGCCACAGUGGCUGCUGCUGUUGCUGCUAGGAAAGAUUAUAUGUUUUCUUCUUCUUCUCUUCCCAUAGCUGGUGCUCUCUCCAUUCCCCAUCAUCUGUAUAGUAACCAAUGAGAAUUUCAGGAAUAUGUGCGAUUCUUGUGUAAUCUUCACUUUCUUCCUUCUGAUUCUCUAACAGCUUCUCUCUCAAUUGAGAACUCAUCUCAUACAAAGACAGCCGUUGAAGAUUGCUCAAGUGCUGAAUACCCAAUGGUAACUCCUCUAGUAACGGAAGUUGUUCUAGAAAUAGUUUUUGGAGACGAGGCAAUGCACCCUCCUCCACUCUCAUCCCUCUCAACCCUUCCAUUCUCUUUAGGUGCAACCUCUUCAGCAUUAGGAACCCUCCAGUUUUGAAACACAACCCUUCUCCUUGGUAAGAUCCACAGAAAUUAAUACUAACCAAAUUGGGCAAAUGUUGGAGGGAUUCAAGCGGAUCCUCCUCGCCUCUUAACCUGCUCCAAUUCAAAUCUAUUCUUACCAAGCCGUGAAGAUGAGCUACCCAUUGUGGCAUUUUUUCUAAGCGGCCACGCAAAAUCAGCAUACGAAGAGAUUGAAGAAACGAAGAAGAAGAAAGAGAAGGAUGAUUUAGAUCGAUUAUCUCAUGAUCAUCACCUUUUCCAAUUGAAGCAAUGCUUAAUUCCCGAAGACUGGUGAGGUUGGCAAGGGAGGAGCAGAGCUCCUUUCCAUCUUCUCUUCUUAAAUUUGUGAUACCUAAUUCUCUUAAUUGGGUCAACUUUCCUAUCUCCUUAACUAUUGUGGAUCCACCGCUUGCAUCUAUGCUAUCUAAUACUUCUAGGGCAAUAAGCCCUCCCAUAUUUGAGGGAGCUUUAAAUCCAUGAUAUCCAUAAUCAUCAUCGAAAGAAUCAACUUGUUGAAAUACUCUGAGAACCCGAAGUUUUUGCAGCUUUAGCAUUUCCAUGGGUAAUUCCCUAACUCUUGUGUCAGCCAAAUCCAGAUACUCCAAAUGUUGAAGCUUUCCAAUGGAUUUUGGGACUCUCUCUACUCUCGUACCCCAUAGGUCCAGAUGCUUGAGAUGAAACAUCUUGAAAAUCUCAUUUGGUAUUUCCUCCUGUGUCUCUUGACCACGCAAAUCCAAAACCUUUAACAGCUUACUACUCCUUGAAAUUUCAGAUAACAAUGUUUUGGAUAGUAGCGGGCUCAUGGAUCCAACUGUAACGAACGACCGAAGGUGGUCAAAGCAACAACUUCGUCUUUGUUGGUGGUGCUGGGUAUUGUUACUGCUACUACUAUGGACUGCCAGACGGCGUACCUUCUCGGAUGGCCAUGUCAUUGGUUGUCCAGUAGUGACUGUGACCAUGUUUUGUUCCCUUGACUUGAGAACAAUAACUUCUCUCAACAGGUCAUGGAUUCGACAAUUGUUGGGUAAUCCUUCAUAAAACACAUCAGUCACUUGAAUUAGGCUUCUAUUGACGAGUUCACUAAGAUAACCCCAGGCUACAUCUUCAAUACUCAUUCCUUCUCUCCCUUCUACUAACCUUUCAGCAAUCCACAAAUUAAUGAGUCUAUAGCAUUGUAUUUUGUAAUCCUCUGGGAAGAUGCUUGUGUACAACAGACAUGUCUUUAGAUGCCUGGGCAAAUCACUAUAACUGAGAGAGAGUAUCUUUUUAACUCUAUCCAGUUUACCAGCGCCUUCUAAUUCACCCCCAAGACUGUGUCGAACCAUCCCCCAUUCCUCUGUUCUGUUUACAUCUUUCAAAGCCAAAAGCCCACUGAUUGCAAGAAUUGCAAGGGGCAAGCCCUCACAUUUACCCAAUAUAACUUUGGCAACAUCCAUCAAAUGGCCAGGGCAACUACCUCCCUUAAAGAUCUUGUUGCAAAAUAGGGUCCACGAAUCUUCAAAGAAUAGUGGCUUCAUUCUGUAGAUAUAACCCAGAGAUUCUGUACAAGAGGCUGAGGCUACAUCAGCUUUCCGAGUUGUUAGCAUGACACGGUUGCAUACCUUUCAGCUUGUCAUCAAAAACAAUUGCAUACCUUUCAGCUUGUUGAAGAAAAUCUUUGACAAAUUUUUUCAGCUCAGUGGUAGUCAUGGACUCGAUCGAUUGUGGGACUGGUUUCUUCCCUUCCUCGUGUAACUGCCGAAUCAAGUCUUUCAGGAGGUACUGAAAGUCACAUGUUUCAGAGACAGUUACCCAAGCACGGACUGGGAAAUGCCUUCUGACUUCAAGAUCCUCAUGGACUUUUUUCACCAGGGUAGUUUUGCCAAGUCCUCCCAUACCAACCACUGAAACAACUUUUAGUUGGUAAUCAUCCCCUUCGAGAAGCUGAGAAAUUAGAUGGUUUUUGGGCUGGUCAAUGCCAACUAAUUUAGCUUCUUCCACAAGCAGUGCAUCAUCUCUGCUAUAACGCCAUGUUGUGUUGUUCACAGCAGAAAUUGAGUUGGAUGCUUGGGCAAAGAUACCAUAUUCAGAUUGGUAUCUUUGAUGAGCUUCAGAAAUACUUUUGAUUCUUGACUUGAUGCUUUGUAUUUCGCUAGCAACUCGAUAACGAGCUCUCAAAUUCUUGAUGGAGCUGAAAAUUCUCCAAACAGAGCCGUAGAAUCCUGUUUCGCGAUGCCGAGCAAAGCGAGCUACAAAUUCAUCAAGAAUGUCUUCAGUGUCAUAAGCUGCUUCUCGCACUUGCUUGAUCCAUUCUUGGAGCCUGGGUUGAGCAUCUUCUUCUUUUGCUUCUGCCUCUCUCAGGAAAGCCCUCAUGUGCCCCAACUCAUCCCUGAUGAAUUGGACCUCUUGCCGAAGCCCACCCAAUAGUCGUCCCUCCUCGCGCAGAAAAGUUGAGAGUUGAUCCAGCACAAAAGAGAGAACUUUUUCUGCCAUUUUCAGUCUUUCUUUCUAACUUAGAGAAUGUCGUGGAAGGCAGCUUCUCGUUUAUGGGACAGUCCACUUGUAGUGUCUUGAAAGGAAGAGGGAAGAGUAGGUUAUAGAUUCAUAAGCUGAUGAACUUUGAAACUAUAUGGUGCAGUAUAUAUCAAAAAGAAAAACCGCGUCAAAAGAAAAAGAAAGAAUUAAAAAAUUAGAAGAAACUAAAGCAAAAAACAUGAUGGAAAUUGAAGGCAGGAAGAUGGGCAGCAACGUGAGUUUGAAAGACGAAGCUGCCUUACCUGCUUACAAUACAGAAUCAUGGAAGCUAUGAAGAAGACACAACUGCAAAUGGUGGGGUGAUCAGCCUUCAGGACCUUCUUUCAACUGUGGGUCCUAUGGUCGGAUAAAGAUAAAGGAGCAUCUUUGAACUGUGGGUUCUUUACAAAGCGGGGUUGGACUGGACAUUAUUUUUUUUUUUAUUUUUUUUUUUUAGGUGUGUCCCGCAGGGAGUGGACCCCGCAGACUAUUCACCAUCCUCAACAACUUGCUGGCAGCAAGGUUCGAACCAGGGACCUGAAGCCCCAUCUUCAGCACCCUCAACCACCAGACCAAGCCCCUGAGGGCAACUGGACAUUAUUGAUUUCAUUGACGAAGCAAUAAAAUCAGGGAAAAUGAUUCAAAACGUUUCUUAUAUUUUAUAAGGUGAUUUAUUUUUUAAAAUAUAAUUUUAUGUUCCUUACAAAUUCAUAUUGACUAAAUUUGAUUCUUACUUAAAUUUUUGACUAGUUUUUGAUCGAAAUCCAUUACGUAACUUAUACGUGAUCAUUUUUUUGGCUAUGUUCAUAAAAUAGAAAAAAAAACCUUGAACUUCAAGAAAAGUAAACAAAUCUCAGCACUUACUUGAGAGAAAAUGAAACCUCUGGCAAUAGCUGAUCUGAACCUACCCUGUCAAAUCCAAGUUUGAUGAAAAAGAGAACACGGGCGAGGAAGAUGAUAAUUUGAAUCAAAAUUAAAACAAUGCAGUAUGUGCAAGGCCUUUAGCUAGGAAGAUGGAGUAUUACAGAGGAGAAGGUAGGAGCAGCACCGUUAUUGAUAGGAAAGUGGAUUGAAAUUGGCCGUGACUUUCCUGGUUGGAUAGUAGAACAAUGGGUUAAUCACAUUUUAUCCUCUUAAAAGAUACCCCAUUUCUCAGUUUACCUCCUAACCUUUAAUUUUGCUCACUUAACCCCCUUUAGGACAAAAUUGCCCUUGCAUUAUUUUGACUUUUCAUUUACCUUGUUUUCCUUUCUUUUAUUUCUUUUUCUCUUUCUUCUUUAUUUAAUUCUUCCUCUUUCCCACAAAAAUCUUUACCUUAAUGAUUGAAAUUAAAAAAGAGGAAUUGCAGAGAUCUAUCUUCUCCUUAAAAAAUUUAAAAAAUAUUCAAAUCACUUUCCUAAAAUAUAAUUUUUUUAGCCUUUCAAUUCUUUUAAUUUUGGGUUUUCCUCUUUCCUUUAUAGUUUCUUAUUUUAUUCUCAAGAAAAUAUCUUAAGAUGAAAUUGUGACCUGAUUAAUAAUCAUCAAUUGAAAUUUGUGACACGUGGCAUCAUACAAAAAAUCAAAAUUAGUUUUUGAUGUCUUUUAAACCUUCACCCAGAAAUAUGCAAUUAUAAACUCAAAACAAAAAUUUUCGUUGAAAUGGAAUUUCUAUUGGGAAGGAUGAAAGAGAGAAGAAAGAGAAAAAAAAUAAAAGAAAGGAAAACAAUUUCAUCUUAUGAUAUUUUCUUGAAAAUAAAAUGAGAAACUAGAAAGGAAAGAGGAAAACCCAAAAUUAAAAGAAUUGAAAGGCUAAAAAAAUUGUAUUUUAGGAAAGUGAUUUGAAUAUUUUUUUAAUCAUUUAAGAAGAAAAUAGAUCUUUGCAAUUCCUCUUUUUUAAUUUCAAUCAUUAAGGUGAAAUUUUUUGUGGGAAAGAGGAAGAAUUAAAUAAAGAAGAAAGAGAAAAAGAAACAAAAGAAAGGAAAACAAGGUAAAUAAAAAGUCAAAGUAAUACAAGGGCAAUUUUGUCCUAAAGGGGGUUAAGUGAGCAAAAUUAAAGGUUAUGGGGUAAACUGAGAAAUGAGGUAUUCUUUAAGGGGAUAAAAUGUGAUUAACCCUAGAACAAUUACUCAACGUGGAUCUCGUCCCUUGGCUGUCAGAGUGACACAUGGCAAUAAAAAUCGAGACUUAAAUGAUGAGGUCAGAGUCCAUUGUUAGGUGAUCGGAGAAUGAGUAGUUUAGUCAUUUCACGAAAUAUUAAUUGUAUUCAAGUUAUGAUGGAUAGUGCUUAAUUUUCCAUUUUUAAAUUAUGUCAAAGUUACACAAUUCUUUUGAAUUUUCCACGUCCACAUCGAGAAUUUUCCAAUCAUAUCUAUUUAGAAUUCUAAUUUUGCAACUUCACUGUAUAGGUCCAAAUCUACUUUGAAAAAUUUUAUGUCAAAUCAAAAUUUUGUGUUUCUAUUUUUCUUCUUCCUUCUUUGUAAAAUGAAUGACUUUGGUCAGUGAGAAUGUAUCCUUGUAAAGAAGAUUUUUACAUAGGGAUAUUGUUAUGAAAAAGAGAAAUUUGAAACAUAUAAUAGUUAGAUUUGUUUUUCCUGAAUUUAAUGAGUCAUAGGCUAAAAAAGUUGUAGUAGUUCAAUUUUUUUUUUCAAAUCCUAGUACGAAGCUGCUACUUGAGUUAAUGAAUUGAAAUUCACUGGUAAAAUUAACUAUUGUAGAGCCAUAAUUUGGACUCAAAUGCGAUAAGAAGCAUUAUAUGAGCUACUCGCUGUAAGCCGGAAAGCAGCUUUGAAACAAAAGAAGCAGAGGUACAAAGUUUUCGUAGUGGUCAAUAAUACUAUCGGUUCCUAGAAACAUCAUAAGAAAGGAGAUAGAGUAACACUAUGGAUAUUAUAAAAUUCUAUCAAUGUUUGUCAUUUUUAUAUGGUAACCAACUACAGAAAAAUUGUCAAAGUCGUAUGAGAAAGUUAAGGACGAAAUUGCACUAACUUGUUUCAUUCCAAUGCUAAUUGUAUUUCAUAAUUCAUAAGAAAAUUUGAUGCAAUAAAAUUUUUUUUUGAAUAUGAGACCUUGAUUGUGACAAUACAUGAAUACCCUCAAUGAUAUUAGAAAAUGCAUUCAAAUUUAGGGACACAACGUGGUCCUAAUUAUUUUGUAAGAGGGGUGAUCUUGAAAAGAAAAAACUUGAACACUCAACUAUCAAUACAAACUCACUCUUUUAGCAAAGGUAUAGAUCCAGAUAUUGAUGAAUCUUUGUAAUUAACAAGGUAAAUCUGUUGACCAAUAAAAGUCAAUGGUAGCAGGUAGAAAAGCUGGCAUCUAUGUGCACUAUGUUGAAGGUAACUAUAGUAUAGAUAAAUAUAAAUAUUUGUAAUUAACAAGAUACACCAUGUUGAUCAACAACAGUCAAUGGUGGGUAGAAGGCUGGCAUCAUCCUUCAAAGUGUCCUUCACGACAGAAGAGCUAGAAACCAAAAUGAAGGAGAUCGGUAAAUUAAUCACAAAAUGCCCUGAACUUACGAGAAUCAUCCUUGAAAACGUCCUUUAGGACGAAAGAGCUAAAAACCAAAUUGAAGGAGAUCAAUAAAUUAAUCACAAGAUGCCCUGAACUUACGAGGAAGCCAAUUUGUGCAAUAAUACACCAUACUUUUAGACGGAAAUCUGCAAUCGGUGAAGUUGGAUUAGACUCUGCUGAUGCAAUUGUGGGGUUCCAGGCUUCAAAAUAAUGCAAAGAUGACAAUAAUGAGUUGGAACCAGCUUAUUGAUGACAAUAAUGCUUGUAUUUUAGGCACGUUAGAUGUGAAAUGUGAGAGUUGACUGCUGUCUGAGCUCAUUCCAGUGUGAAAGAACCUUCUGCGAUAGCAAAAUGCUGUUCUCUACCAGUCCCAUUCAGUCAUUUGCAAUAUGAUUAUGGUUAUUUAUUAGCGUGAACACACAUGAUUGGAAUGAACAUUUGUUUAUUUAUGUAGAAAAAGUGAUAUUGUUAACGUUAUUUUUUAUAAAUAGCAGCCCGCUCAAGUGAUUGUGCUCUAUUUUUUUUGGGGUAAAUUGUGGAAGAUAGAGGCACUAUUAAAUCAGCAUACCUCUAAUCAUUUACCUACCGUAUAUCUAUAUGAGGGCAAAACUCGGAUCACAUGCAUUAAUGCUAACGAUAAUGAUCUACAAUACUAAACAAGAUAUAUCAUGAUAUAUAUGUUAUAAUCUUGUGUUUCUCUCUCUUUUAUUGUUAUCUGAUUUUUCUUUCAUCAUCCUUGCUUUUUGUCUCACCAUCUCCCCAUACGGUAAGUCAUUUAGAUAUGUCAUGAUUUUCCUGUCAUAUUUUUUAAAGCAAUACUCUAGUGUUAAAUAGGAAUAUCCAAAAAUUUCUGAUCAGGAUAGAGUUUUGUACACCAACUUGUUAUUUAUACGGUACUGCAAGUAUUCAAAACUCAAAAGGAGACCUUAAAGGGGCCAAAAAAAAAAAUAGGGAAGACCUCAUGACUCAUGAGGUCAGUUCAGGUUUCUGAAUUAUUCCAUCAAGGAUAUUGAAAUUGGAAAAAAAAAAUAGAAAAUUAUGAAUGAAACGGAGAAAAGGACCAAGAAAUCUAUAAAUUACCAUCAAAUGUCAAAUGAGUGGUGUUUUUCACCUAUUGGCGCACCCUUUAACCCGCCGCCCACCUCUUUUUCAAAUGGAUGAUAGAUAUAUAGAUAAUUGCAAUGCAAUGAAAUAUUAGAGACUUACUCUCAUCCUAGCAUAUCAAUUUCUUAACUUGAGGUGUAUAUGAUAACAAAUUUGAGUUUCUGUUUAAAAAGUAUAAUUUGUGAAUUGCCAGGUUUUAUUUUUUUAUUGGUGAAUAAAUUCCAAAUAUUAGAUUCAUGGUUUCUUUUCAGAAAUUCCUAUGUUUUAUUUGAUAUAUUUACUUUAAUUUGACAUAUAAGCAUUAUUCAAUGUAAUAUGCAGUACGCUUUUUUCCAGCUUCAGAUGUUGUAAAAAUUUUAUUUUCUUUUGCAAGUCAAAAUCAAAUUAGGAUUUGUUAUCCCUUAUGUUAUAUCCAGAACCUAGUAGAAUAAGAUUAAGUAGCAUUACAUUAUUUGGUAGAAACUAUGUUUCAUUAAGUAAUUUCGUUCCAAAUCUAACUAUAUUUCAUAAGAAAAAUGUAAUAUACUUCUCUUCCUAAAAUAAAUACUUAACAAUGAUAUUACACAAUUACCCUCAACAAUAUCUACAAGUCAUUCAAAUUUAGAGCUAGCCAUAAUAUGUUAUGGGAGGGUUAAUGUUGGAAAGAAAAAACUAAUUUUUACAAUAAUUAAUAAAGUAGAAAUAGUUCUUAAAUUUCCUUUUACAAUAUGGUUCCCUUUUUUUUGGGUUUAACUUUGUUUUACAAUAUGGUAUAUGGUUUCGUUUUUUUUUUUCUUUUGUUUAACUUUGUUUGGAAUUCCUUUCCUUUUAGAAUACUAAAUUUUAGAAGACGAUAAUUAUAUCAACACUAAUAUCCAUAAAUAUCCCUCCCCCAAUUCAUAUUUGAAAUUUAAUAUAAGCUUCAUUAUUUCAUUAUACAAGGGCAUUACUGGAAAGUGAAAACUAAAUUACUAAAACACCAAAUCACAUUGGUGCUUUUAAUAUAUAUGCAUAUAUACAUGUAUAUAUGUAUGUAUAUAUGUAUGUGAUAGACAUUUGCACAGAGAGACUUAUUUGGCAUCUAGUCCAACAAAGCUAACAAGGCAAGCACAAAAUUAAAAACAUAAAAAUAAAACGCCUUGAGAAACAUUAGAGAGAGAUUCAAGGGAUUGUCACCCAUGGCAUUCCAAAAGAAAAGGAAAACAACAAAUUAAAGAGGAGAAUCAUCGAGGACAUCGAAAAUUAAAACCCAAUAAAUUAACUUUCUGAUGUUGAAAUAAUGAUCAAGUGAAAGCCGUAAGAAAUUUUAUAUUGUAACUUAAUACAGAAGAAUUUUUCAAAGCCGUAAGAAAUUUAAGGACGAAAUAUGAGAAAAAUUCUUACUCACAAAAAAAGAAACUGCAGCAAAUAAAUGGAGUGGAGCCAUCGUAGUCAAAAAGUAAAAGAGAAACUAAAGCAAGAGACGUGAUGGAAAUUGAAUAGAAAGAAGAUAGACAGCAACGUGAUUUUGAGAUAGAGCGACGAAGCUGCCUUACCCGCUACACAACAAAAUCAUGGGAAUUAUUAAGAGGACCAUGCAGUUGGUGGGGUGUUCACUCUUUGUAGAUCAUUGUUAUGAGCUAAUAAUCCAACAGGAACAGAGAGAACUGUUUGUGCCACUUGCAGUUUUGUAGAUCAUUUAGCCCUCAAUAUAAAAUUUACUGGAUUCAGAUUUUAACAUAGAAAUUGAACAUCUAAAUUAAUUAAAUAGCACUACAUUUCUUAGAUAAAACUUACUCCCAAAAUUAAGUGAUAAGUUAUUCACUUAUCACUGAACGUGAUAUGCAUUCAAAUGCAUUAGAUCUAAUACUUAACAAUUUAAUAAUUUAAUGGAUUCAACUUUCAGAUUUAAAACUUUAGUUUUAUGAAAUGCACUUUCAGUGAUAAGUGAAUAGUUUAUCACUUAAUUUUGGGAGCAAGUUUUGCUUAGAAAAUUCAGUGCCACUUAAUUAAUUCAGAUAUUCAGUUUUUAGUUAUCAAACAGUAUGAAUAUGUUAAGAUCUGAAUUCAUUAAAUUUUAUAGGUGCUAAAAUGGGUUGUCAAACAGGACCUUAAUUUUGGAUUCUUUUGUGCUGUGCCAAAGAAUAAGAGAUGGACUCUUUAACUCUGUGGACAUUAAUCAAUCGAGUCUAAUCAAACCCAAUGAAGCAUAAGUAAUAUAAAUUAAUAUUUUAUAUAAUUUUAAAUGAGAAUACAAUUGACAUUUCACACUAAUAAAUAUAAAAAAAAAUUCAAAAGGAUAUAUUACAUUUAAAUCUCGAUUGAGUUCAACUGAACUUGAUGAGUUUUCAAGCUUCAUAUAGUAGACUCGAACUUGAACUCUUCAAGCAAUUUGAGAUACUCAAACUAAAUAUUGAACUCCUUUAACCUGAGUUUUGACAAAACAUGCUUGUGAGUAAUUAAUUUGUUGAGCUCGACUCGUUUUAUACCCAUACGACAAAAUACUCUCAAUUAAGGGAGUAAGUGACUAUGUUGCAAUUUUAUGGUGGGCUCUUCCCCCUUUUUGUGCUCUUAUGGUACAUAAAAGAGAAUCUCUGACCAAAUUUCGGCAUAAACAUACAUGUGCGUUCAAGUAGAAAUGAGGAAAGAUCACAAGAGAACGAGAAUCUACUACUAUAGAUAAAGAAAAACCCAACUCAAAAUGAAUUAUUCUAUCAAAGUUACAGGAGAGUAGGGGUGCAGCUGAGUUUUGAGCAUGUUGUGGGUUAAAGUUGGUUUUAGAUUUUUUUUUUCUCCUUUCUCGUCAGUUGAAGAAUGGACUGAGGAAAGUCAGAUUUCAAUUUCUGUAACUCGGCAGUCGGGGAUUGAUUUAAGAAGACAUUAGACAUUAACGUUGGUUGUGCUACUAUGGUUGGACUACGUCAUGGACGAAGUUAAGAAUAGAAAAGUAUAAACAAAUCUGUAAGCACAGUGUUUUCACCUACCAACGCCAAGAAGCAGCUUUUUUACCAGUAUUUGUAAACCUUGAAUUCCAUAAUAAUGUAGUUGCUUUAGCCUGAGCUUUAAAUACCCCUACCCUUAUUUUUGGGUAAAUUAAACAUAAAAUCCUAUGGUUUCACUCAUUGUCAUAUAACCCUAUAACAUUGUAAAAUAUCUAUUUCACUCCCUUAGGUUCAAUAUAAACUUUACAAAAAAUAAUCUCUGUAACGUCAUUAGUUCAAAUAUUAUUAAUUUCCUUACUUAAAUACUAAAGCGAAUAAAUGCCUAACCAUCUCAGAUAAAACCACAGGGGAAUUGUGUGGAUCAAUGCAAAAAACUGCAAUGAGGUAUGGUGGAUAUUUAUAUAAAUCAUAGAGGAUUAAGUGGAUUUUAUUAUUCCAUCACAUACGUUUUCUGGAAUGUGUUUGGUUCAAUCACCUAAUCAAUGAUGUAUUCCUUCCAUUUUCUACUUUGCAUAAAACCACAUAAAGGUUAUAUGACUAUUGUGAAACUUUAGAUGUGUUAUGUAGCAUUGAAGAAAAUUAUAGGGGGAUUAUAUGUAAUUUAUCCUUCUUUUUUUUUACAUGAAUUGUAGUUAUAUAUAUUAUUUUAAUGCUUUUAUCGACUAAAUGACAUUGAACCUUUUUUUGGGGGUCAAAUGAUGUUGUCAUCAAUAGAGAGAAAUUUGAGAAGGAAUAUGAGGGUUCAAAUCUCAUCUAUCUAUUAGAAACUAGCUUCCUGAAUUUCAGAAAAGGAAUUUAAUUAGAGAUCCUCUCUUCAUAUUCCUUUUUUUUUGGCUAGCGCUAUACGUUAAUCAAACAAAUUGCAAAGCCAAUCGUUCUUGAUUGCCCACAUGUUGCUAAAUCUAAUCAUCAGCAUUGGCUCUUAGUUUAAAAACCUAUAUGGAACCCCAUCAUGAUUUGGGUUAAUGUGUCACUGUUAGUUUUCUCGUUAAAACUAACGGUUAAUAAUAAAAGGUCAAAAUCAAACUGAUAAAUUGAUAAAUUCAAGCUUUCACUACUCUCUCUCUCUGGGAAGAGAAAAGGUGAUUUUGAAAACCUAUUUGUAUAGAAAAACUUUCCAAAAAAAUUUCUCGUUUACAUUAUAAACACAUUUUCCAAUCCACUUUUUUAUAUUCCUAACCACUUUUUUAUUUCACAUACAUCACAUCACAAAAAGCACUACAGUAAUUAUUUCAAACAAUUAUUUGGAAUAAUACUCUAUCCAAACAAAGCCUUAAUUUUCUCCAAAUAAAAAAGAGAUGGAAGGAAAAUAAAAAAUAAAAAUAAAUAAAUAAGAAACAAAAAGGAUGGAAGGGAAAUAUAAAACAAAUAAAUGAGAAACAAAACAUACCAAAUCUCUUUUGACUAGAAAUAUCAUUAUAGGCUUUUAGACCAAAUCUUUAAUAGCAUUUUCUGUUUGGAGGAAAAAAAAGAAGUAAUGGAAGGGUAAAUUUGUCAAUUUAUCAAUUUGAUUUUGAUCUUUACUAUUGACCAUUAGUUUUAAUGAAAAAAAAUAAUAGUGAAAUUUUAACCCAAAUCAUAAGGGAGAUUAUAUAUAUGUUUUUUAACCGUAGAGGGAUUAUGUGGUAAAGUAUCAAAUCACAGGAGGUAAAGUAUAAUUUACCCAACUUAAUAUUAGCUAGCCUUUACAGUGGUAAAGCAAAUGGGUCAGUGGUUGCUCUUGAUUGCCAACAUACAUAUACGUAGAUCAUCCGCAUUCUUAAGCUAAAUUGCCAGCGUAAACCAUAUCUUUUGAUUUUCCAAUAAAUACUGCAAAAAAAAAAAAAAGAGUAACGAGUCCUUCUAUACUACUGGAAGAUUAUUGAUUGUUCACCCAAAUUCGUCAAGUUUCGAAAAAAAAAAUCUUUAGAGUGAAUUGAAUCGAAUUCAAAUUUUGUGUUUUGCGAUAAUUCCUAAAAGAGAACGAAAUGCAGAUUUUGAGUGUAAAAAUAUUUUAAGAAAUAGUGAUACACAUUGUAAGUUUAUUAGCACAGUCAAGGCACAAAAAGAUAGAGUAACAACAUCAAGCAUUAUACACGAUAAAUAAGAAGGUAAGACACAGAAGAUGAUGAACUUCUCGAAGGGGAAAAAAAUUACUAAUAAAAAAUAAAAACAAAAAAGAGAAAGCAGUGUUGUCCUCAAACUAGAGAACGGGAAGCCACGGCAGCUGCUGUUGCUGCCAGGAAUGAUUAUGUUUUCUUCUUCUUCGCCCACAGGCUGCGGUGUCUCCAUUUCCUAUCAUCUGUAUAGUAACCAAUGAGAAUUUCAGGAAUGUGAGCGAUUUUUCUGUAAUCUUCACUUUCUUCCUUCUGAUUCUCUAACAGCUUCUCUCUCAAUUGAGAACUCAUCUCAUACAGAGUCAGCCGUUGAAGCUGGCUCAACUGCUGAAUACCCAAUGGUAACUCCUCUAGUAAUGGAAGUCGUUCCAGAAUAAGAUUUUGGAGACGAGGCAGUGCACCCUCCUCCACUCUCAUCCAUCUCAACCCUUCCAUUCUCUUUAAGUGCAACCACUUCAGAUUUAGGAACCCUCCAGUCUUGAAACACAACCCUUCUCCCUGGUAAGAUCCACAGAAAUUAAUACUAUCCAAAUUGGGCAAAUGUUGGAGGGAUUCAAGCGGAUCCUCCUCGCCCCUUAACCUGCUCCAAUCCAAAUCUAUUCUUACCAAGCCGUAAAGACGAGCUACCCAUUGUGGCAUCUUUUCUAAGCGGCCACACAAAAUCAGCAUACGAAGAGAUUGAAGAAACGAAGAAGAAGAAGAAGAAGAAGAAGCAGGAGGAGGAGGAGGACGAUGAUUUAGAUCGAUUAUCUCAUGAUCGUCACCUUUACCAAUUGAAUCAACACAUAAUUCCCGAAGACUGGUGAGAUUGGCAAGGGAGGAGCAGAGCUCCUUUCCGUCUUCUCUUCUUAACUUUGUAAUAUAUAGCUCUCUUAAUUGGGUCAGCUUUCCUAUCUCCUUGACUAUUGUGGAUCCACUACUUGCAUCUAUGGAUUUUAAUAUUUCUAGGGAAAGAAGCCCUCCCAUAUUUGAGGGAGCUUUAAACCCAUGAUAUCCAUAAUCAUCAUCGGAAGAAUCAACUUGUUGAUAUACUUUGAGAAACCGAAGUUUUUGCAGCUUUAGGAUUUCCAUGGGUAAUUCCCUAACUCCGGUUUUUCCCAAAUUCAGAUACUCCAAGUGUUGAAGCUUCCCAAUGCCUUUUGGGACUCUCUCCACUCCUGUACCAUAUAGGUCCAGAUGCUUGAGAUGAAACGAGUUGAAAAUCUCAUUUGGUAUUUCCUUCCGUGUCUUUUGACCUCUCAAAUCCAAAACCUUUAACAACUUACUACUCCUUAAAACAUCAGAUAACAACAUACUGGACAGGAGUGGGUUUUUCGAUCCAAUUGUAACGAACGACCGAAGGUGGUCAAAGAAAUAAUUUGGUCUUUGCUGGGUGUUGUUACUACUACUACUAUGGACUACUAGACGGCGUACCUGCUCGGACGGCCACAUCGUUGGUUGUCCAGUAGUAAUUGUGAUCAUGUUUUGUUCUCUUGACUUGGAAACGAUAAUUUCUCGCAAUAGAUCAUGGACUCGACAAUUUCCAGGCAUUCCUUCAUAAAACACACGAGUCACUUGAAUUAGGCUUCUAUUGACGAGUUCACUGAGAUAACCCAAAGCUACAUCUUCAAUGUUGAUUCCU